GACGAACGCUGGCGGCGUGCUUAACACAUGCAAGUCGAACGGAAAGGCCCUGCUUUUGUGGGGUGCUCGAGUGGCGAACGGGUGAGUAACACGUGAGUAUCCUGCCCUUGACUUUGGGAUAUCUUCAGGAAACUGGGGCUAAUACCGGCUAGGAGCUCCUGAUGCAUGGUGGGGGUUGGAAAGUUUCGGCGGUUGGGGAUGGACUGGCGGCUAAUCAGCUUGUUGGUGGGGUAGUGGCUUACCAGGUCAUUGACGGGUAGCCGGCCUGGGAGGGUGACCGGCCACAUUGGUACUGCGGGACGGCCCAGUCGCCUACGUUAGGCAGCAGUGGGGAAUAUUGCACAAUGGGCGGAAGCCUGUGGCAGCAACCCCGCGUGCGUGAUGACGGCCUUCGUGUUGUAAACCGCUUUCGCCUGUGACGAAGCGUUAGUGACGGUAAUGGGUAAAGAAGCACCGGCUAACUACGUG
rnacentral:rRNA from 1 species